AAGUCGUAACAAGGUUUCCGUAGGUGAACCUGCGGAAGGAUCAUUAAAAAUUUUUUUACCAUCAUAUGGAAAAAAAAAUCCAUAUUCACCUUGUGUGCAUUUAUUGAAUGUUUGCUUUUGGGAGCGCAGAGUCUUGAUUUAAAAAAACCUGGAGGACGAAGUUUAAAACGCUGUUGCGAUACUUCGUCGUCUUUGGGUUGGCUUAAAUUUAAAGCGGAAGGUUUCCGAAAGGAAAUUAAUAUCCGGCCUCCCAAAAGAUUUUUUAAACUCCAUAUAUAUUUUUUCAUAAAUUUCUGUCUGACAAAUAAAUAUCAUCUUUUGAUAUUAAUAAAAAAAUUUAAACAACUUUCAACAACGGAUCUCUUGGUUCUC
rnacentral:misc_RNA from 1 species